AUUGAACGCUGGCGGAAUGCUUUACACAUGCAAGUCGAACGGCAGCACGGACUUCGGUCUGGUGGCGAGUGGCGAACGGGUGAGUAAUGUAUCGGAACGUGCCCAGUCGUGGGGGAUAACGUAGUGAAAAUUACGCUAAUACCGCAUACGAUCUAUGGAUGAAAGCGGGGGAUCGCAAGACCUCGCGCGAUUGGAGCGGCCGAUAUCAGAUUAGGUAGUUGGUGGGGUAAAGGCCCACCAAGCCAACGAUCUGUAGCUGGUCUGAGAGGACGACCAGCCACACUGGAACUGAGAAAGGGUCCAGACUCCUACGGGAGGCAGCAGUGGGGAAUUUUGGACAGUGGGCGAAAGCCUGAUCCAGCCAUUCCGCGUGCAGGAUGAAGGCCCUCGGGUUGUAGACUGCUUUUGUACAGAACGAAAAGGUUUCUACUAAUACUAGGAGCUCAUGACGGUACUGUAAGAAUAAGCGCCGGCUAACUACGUGCCAGCAGCCGCGGUAA
rnacentral:rRNA from 1 species